GCUUAUUACCCUUCCAAAAUGAAUAUACCCCAUCUUGUUUGAUCUUGGAAGUUAAACAAUCUCGGGCUUGGUUAAUACUUGGAUGGGUGACCGGUUGGGAAUACCAAGUGUGAUAAACA
rnacentral:rRNA from 1 species